rnacentral:rRNA from 1 species
UUAAAUUGAAGAGUUUGAUCAUGGCUCAGAUUGAACGCUGGCGGCAGGCCUAACACAUGCAAGUCGAACGGUAACAGGAAACAGCUUGCUGUUUCGCUGACGAGUGGCGGACGGGUGAGUAAUGUCUGGGAAACUGCCUGAUGGAGGGGGAUAACUACUGGAAACGGUAGCUAAUACCGCAUAACGUCGCAAGACCAAAGAG